rnacentral:rRNA from 1 species
AGCAGCCGCGGUAAUUCCAGCUCCAAUAGCGUAUAUUAAAGUUGUUGCAGUUAAAAAGCUCGUAGUUGAAUUUCGGGAUCAAAGAAUCGGUCAUGCCUUGGUAUGUACUGGUUUUAUUGGUUCUCACCUUCUAAAGAACCAUGAUGUCAUUCAUUUGAUGUUAUGGGGAAUUAGGACUGUUACCUUGAAAAAUUAGAGUGUUUAAAGCAAGCUUACGCUUGAAUACAUUAGCAUGGAAUAAUGAAAUAGGACAUCAGAUUCUAUUUUGUUGGUUUCUAGGAUCGAUGUAAUGAUUAAUAGGGAUAGUUGGGGCAUUAGUAUUCAAUUGUCAGAGGUGAAAUCCUUGGAUUUAUUGAAGACUAACUACUGCGAAAGCAUUUGCCAAGGAUAGUUUUCUAUUAAUACAAGAACGAAAGUUAGGGGAUCGAAGACGAUCAGAUACCGUCGUAGUCUUAAACC